rnacentral:lncRNA from 1 species
UGACCGCCCCAAUCUUUCUUUUUCUCUCCCUUUCAUCCUACAAACCCUAACAACCUGCUUCAGGCCCUGAUUAUUCUGCCUGUGAAUUUCUAUAUUUUUUUUAUUCUUGAGUCCUUUCUUCAAUGUCUUUUUUUUCUUUAUUCCGAUUUUACUUAACGGAUUUCACUGGAUAUAUUGUUGUUGUUUAUUCAUUUAUGAUAAAAUUUGGAUCAUAAAAAUGAAGAUCUUUGAGGACUUUUCAUCAAAAUUGAUCCAGAAAUGGAAAGGAGAACAAGAUAUCACAAAAUAUGGAGAAAAAAUUUUGAAUACCAGUAAAAUGGGGUAAUACUGUCUAUUUCCUCUCUGAAUGUUGAUUGAUUUGUUCCCAUUUUUUAAUGAGUUGUUUUAGUAACUAUAUUUAGUCUCUGCUAUAUUAUGUGCCCUCAUUUCCUUGUUUAUUCUACCCAAAUAUUGAUUCACAUUGCAGAUCUUGACUCUCUGACCGAAACCCAAAGCGUGAAACCUGACUCUCAACUCUUGACCCAUGACCCCGACUUGGGAUCUGACUACCUAACUCUUACUUGAGAUUAGAGCUCGAUCCUAAGUUAGGAUCAAGAUCUGAUCUCGGGUCAAAGUCAGGUUUUCGAUUUAAGUUUGAAAUUAGGGUCGAGGUUGGGUCUUGAGUUAGGGUUAGACCUUGAACGGGUUAUGGAUAAAUUUUGAUGUAAGCUCAAGAUCAAGGUGAAAGGUUAGGUCUCGAGUCAAUAUGGGAGGUUUGGGUCCAGUAUAAAAGGUUGGGUCCAGGUUUAAUGUCAUAUAGUAUUUGCCUGAUUAUAUCUGGAUCUUAGGUUAGGGUUAAGACCUAAAUUAAGUUCUAAACAAGGCCGAGGUCAGGGAUGAGAACAAAGUCCCUAGUCAGGGUUGGAGGUUCGGGUCUUGUUUAUAGGGUGGAGGUCUGGGUACAAUGUCAUUUGUAUCAAGUUUUAAGGCGGGCUCGAGGUGAGGGUCAGUCCCAAGUUGGGAUCGAUGAUCGGGUUUGGGUUAUAGGGUAGGAGUCUCAAUCCGAUGUCAUAUGUUAGGGUUAAGACCCAGACCGAGUUUAGGACCAAGUUCUAAGGCGGAUUCGAAGUUAGGAUUAGGAAUCGAUCUGAGUCAAGGUUGGAGGGCCAUAACUGAUGUCAUAGUAUUUUCCUGAUUAUCCCUAAAUACUCAUGAGAUAAUACUUUUUUUAUUAAGCAAACACCAAAAUAUAAAUAAGAAAAACACUUGGUUUCUAGGAAAAUAUUUUCCUUCCUGCCAAACACACCCAAAGUAUUCCUUCAUUUCCACUUACUUGUCAUAUGAUAAUACCAAAAAUGAUUUGCACAAAAAAGAUAGAACUUGUGAUUUAUACAUUAAUUGAAGCUAGUGAAUGCUAAAAUCACCUCGUGCUAAAUAAGUUGAACCUACAUUGUAUAGCAAAAACACCAAUAUACACAAACUAGAGUAGGUUCAAUAGAAUUUAUUGAUCUUAGUGUAUUAACCUUAAUGAUGAAAUGUAAAAUGAAAAUUUGAAGUUAAAUUAUAAUUAUUAAAUAUAGAAAGAUGUUUUUUUAAUUAAUUAAAAAUAAAAAAAAUACCAUAUAAAUUGAAACAAAGGAAAUAACAAUUUAAUGUGUAAUUCAUAUACAGAAAUGUUAGGCAAUAAAUUUUCUAAAAUCUAAAGGAUACCAUGAAUUAUGACUUAUUCAAAUACAUCGUACAACUACAUUAUGAACUUAAUUUAUAUAAACUAAACAAGAAAAUGCAUAAAUACGAAAAUCUUGUGCUAGCUGGAAAGAUUCAGUAAAUCCUUACACACACAAAAAAAAAAUCAUAGAUAUACACACAAACAAAACCGCUAGUUACAAGCCUAACUGAUAUGGAGAGGGAGAGAGAGAAUUUUUAGAGAUAAAACAACUGAUAUAGAGUUAUAAAGGCGAAUUUGAACAUCUUCAUUGUCAGCUUGUUGAAUAAGUACUUCAGUUUCCUGUAAUUCGAAAGUCAUUGAGUAAGAAACUAACUUAGACAUAUUUUCUGGUAUUUAGGGGAAAAUGAAAGAAGUAAUAUUGAAUGAGAAAAAAAGACAGGAAAAGAGCUAUAUUUAUAGGAAAAUUGAAUGAUUGAUGUGAGACUUUUUUAUUUGGUUUUCGUCAGUUUAGUGUCACUCUAAACAGCAUUGAGUGGCCCUAAAAUGACGAAAACCAAAUAAAAAAGUAUCACAUCAAUCAUUCAACUUUCCUAUAAACAUAACUCCUUUCCUAUCCUUUUUUCUCAUUCAAUAUUCUUUCUUUCAUUCUCCCCUAAAUAGCAGAAAAUACAUCUAAGUUAGUUUCUUGCUCAAUGGCUUUUGAAUUACAGGAAAGUGAAGUCCUUUUUCAACAAGCUGACAAUGAAGAUGUUCAAAAAUCAGUUAGUUUUGAAGAAGAGGUUCAAACAUCAGUUUGCACUGAUGAAAAAGAAUACGGCUAUCAAAUUCGCCAUUAUAACAACAACGUAUCAACUAUCAGAAAAGUAGUCAUGAAGCAGGAUUCAGAUUCAGAGUCCAUGCCAAUGAGCAUUCCCUGUAGACGAUGACUACAUGGAAAAAAGAUCCAGCUUUUUCAAAGAUGACUACAUAGAUGACGAUGACGAUGACGAUGGUGAAAUGGUGCCUCCCCAUUUGAUAAUUAGAAGGAAAAUGGCCAGAAGAAUGAUGGCAUUUUCCUGUUGUGGUGGAUAUGAAAGGACGCUCAAGGGGAGAGAAUUGAGUCACAUAAGGAACUCAAUUCUUCGAAUGACAGGUUUUCUCGAAACGUAGAUAUUCUUUUUUAGCAUUAGAAUAGUCAGCGGAGUAAAAAAAAAAUGUAUUAGAAUCAUUAUAUUCUUCUAAAACUAAAAAGAUUCCACCUGAAGGUAGUUACAAAAAUUUGUUUCAAAUAUUUUCGUUGGAAGUUCAGCAAUUUGUCUGUUUUGGUAUUUCUCAAAUAUCAUUGUCUCUUUUGACAGUUUUGCAUUAAAAAAGAGUCAUUUUGACUCUAGACUCACAUGUAACACUCCGAAUUAUUUGUUGUGUUGAGCGUGAGUUUGUUUGUUUUUACUGUCACUUUGGACGUGACUCAUGAGGUAUGGGUGGACAUUGCUCGUUGCCUAGUAGUUACUUUAGUGACAAAUAUUAUCAAAAUCCAAAAUACAUACUCAUGAGUGAAGGUUUGUGAUUUACUGCACGAGAACAAUCAAUGUAGAGUGGCAUUAAAGCAGUGAAUAAUUCAGGAGAGAUUCCUCUGGUGUUGUCUAAAACGUGUUUACACAUUAAUGGCAUGUAGAUUUUAACUGUGUGGGUUACGUUUUAAUUUAUUUUGAAUAUCAAACACAUUACUUUCAAGGAGUUGUAAGUCUGUUAGCAGAUUUGAGUUACACAGAAAAUAGUUUGAAAUGAUGCAUAAAAAUCUUUUUGAAUUAUGGCAAAAUUAUUAAUUACUUAUUUCAUUUAUACGCAAGUUUUAUUAUUUUGUUGAAUUUAUUUUUCAGUAUUAUUUACACCUAUAAAUUAUUUUGAUUCAAUUUUUGUUGCAAUUUAAAUGAAAUUUUUUAUUCAAUUUUUGUUGUUGUUCUAAUGCACCUUAUGGUGGAUUUUUAGUAUAAUUUUGAUUGUUGCAUUGGUGGAGUAUUUUUCGCAAUUUUAAUUCUGUUUUGAUAGAUAGCAUGAACAACAACAAAAAGCUUGCAAUUUUUUUACACCAAAUAAAUGAAGAAAAUCCGUACAAAAUAUCAAUUCUACAAAUAUGGCAACUUCAUAAAUAAAAAAACUAGUGCAAAUAUCAAAAAUAAAGCAUAGCACGCAUUUUAGGUGUGCCCUUCCGACCACUGAGUUACUCUAUUACUUUGUUAUGGGUUCCCACCUGUUAAUAUUUAAAUCUAUUAAGAAUUUUUCUAAUGUAAUUAUAAGCCUUAUGGUAGCUGGUGGGAGUUCCCGAGAAACCCACCCUGAUACGAUACAAACAAAGAAUGCAUCAAACACACUCCAAAACAGUCCACAAAUCUCAAGGAUCCUGGGACUGAUUGGAGACCACUCUCAAAUUCAACAAUAAGAACAAGAAUGAGAAGAUAACAAGGUGUUUAACACCUAUUUUCAGUCACCACAAACUAUAUUACCAACAACAAUAUGACGAACAAUGAUGAACAACAACAAUGUUAUAGCAAGAACACCACACGGCUUACAAUAACAAGAUACAAACUACUACAAGAUUGCAAGAAAGGUAAAGAUAGAUAUUGUGACAUACACUAUCACAAGAACUAAGAACCCUAAGAUGUCUCAAAUCUAAGAACCCUUAACUAAUAUAAUAGGAACACCUACACUCUUCAAUGGACACAAGAGAGACCUCAAUCCUUCAAGCACCUAAAGUUCCAAGUAAGAAAACAACACAAGUGCUUCCACACUUUGUGUUCCUAGUUUCGGCCAAGUCUCCAAAGUGAGAGAUAACUUGUCUUUCAAUUGUCUAUUACAAGAUUCAAUACCCAAAAACUAAUGAAAGAAAACCUACAAUGUUCUUUAUAUAGUGAUUACAAAAUAUAAGUCAAAAUGACCAAAAGGCCCCUUAGUGAAGAGGUGCCCCUCUAGUGUAUGUAGUGGGUUGUUUUGGUGUGCAUUUAGGUCCUCUUUUGCCCUUCAAUUGUACGCACACCAAGUCUCGGGUCCAACACACUCUCAUAAGUCCAUCUACGUGAUCGUGCCCGUAUCACACCCACUACCAUAGGCAUAGAUCCAUCCCUAUUUAAAACCCUGAUAAACUUUAAGAGUAUAAACAAUACAAAAAAUUGAGUCGAGGUGGGGUGGGGGUAGUAGGAACCUCACAUAAUUUAGGUGUGUAAGGAAAUUUUGCCAUAGUAAAGAAGGUCCUUAUGCUUUAUCUCAAUUAGUGUUGAGGAAACAUAUGUAUUAUUUUAUUCAUAAUUUUUUUAUUUAUGUUAUAACUAGUUAUUUCAUCUUCUAAUACACAUAAAUAAUAUAUAAAUUUAUAAAUAAUAUAUACAUAUAUUGAUUGUGAAUUUUUAAAUAUCAAAUCAAACAUCAUAUUAGAUGCAUUAAUACAUGAACAACUUAACUUCUAAAUAGCUAUCAAACGAAUCCUUAACACUUGUACAUAAUGAAAUCUUGAUUGAAAUUGCAUUUUACACAAAUAAUUCUAUUAUUCACAAUUAUUAUUUUUUGAGUGAAUUUAAAUAUAAAUAUAAUUUAACUUCCAAAUAUUGUUUACGUCAAGCGAAUUUUAUCUAAACAUGUUAACAAAGAGAAUUGCAUAUAAGCAAUAGUUGACACUCCAUGCAAUUGAAAAUGAGGGCACUCAAUGAAUCAAUUAAUGUUGGAACUCUAAUUUUUCUGCUUAUCUUACAAAUAUUAAAACUUUCAAUCAAAACACAGUGAUGUAACUUACAACCAUAAAAAGAAAAUAAAAUAAAGAAAGAGAGAGUACAAUAUAUAGACACGUGCAAGUAUCUGUAAUAAAUUAUAAAUAUUAAUAUCUAAAACGAAAAUGAUUAUCACAUACUUACGGUGACUUUUUUUUUUUGUAUUUCAAAUAUCCAUAAAUAGACCCCCACAAAAAAAAUAUAUUGAAUCCAUGGCUGGAACUAAGACUAUUUUGGUGUGGACGCUUUAACAUAAUUUUUUUUUUUUUUGUAUGUGUGGAGGGAGAGGGGGGAUGAUAAGAAGGAAAAUAUUUCAAAAAAAAUAAUAUUUUCAUGUUUGUAUCGUUUGAAUGCUUAGAAAAUAUUUCCAUGGAUUUCUAUUUUUUCAAUUUAAGAAAAAUAACUUCAUUACAUAAAAUAAGGACUUUAUCAAAACUCUCUUUCGCCUCAACAUUCGAUCCUGACUCAUAAUCUUCACUCGGAGCCCAGCUUUUAACCAGACUCCCAACUUUAAACCCGACUCCUAAUCUUCACCUGAAAUCCAAAUUUUUACCAAACUGUCAACUUUGAACUGAAAAUCAAGACAUGGCCCACCUCGACAUCAAAUCAAAACUUUACUUGAGACAAACUCUCGAUUUUGACACUUAAUUUUGACUUACUAUUGCACCCUACCUAUUUUGCUUGAAAUAAUUUUGACAUAUUUACAUCGUCACAAACUAUUUUAACUUAAUUAUGAUUUAUAUAACAAAUUUAUCAUUUUAAUAAUAUAUAUAUAUAUAAUCAACUACAUAUUUUAUCAUUGUUUCUCAUAUUUUUUUGGUAAACAAGGAGUGCAUUAAGAUAUAAACAAAAACAACAAUUUAGUGAGCCUAGCCCGGCUCGAGUACAAAAACUGUUGGGCACUGCCCAGCCAAGUCCAACUGCAUAGGUAUAUUUCUAGUGUAGCAAGUUCCUUCACUAUCCGUCCAAACAUCUCGAACCACAAAGGUGGUGGGGGAAUUCAAAAAUUUACAAACUGCAAAUUGGUUUUUCCUAAGACCUUCUUUCGCCAAAGCACCAGCCACCCGAUUCUGUUCUCGAUAGUUGUGGUGAAUAGGUGGUCCUCCCUGUCUUCUUAUCAUGGACCUGCAUUCAUCAAGAAUGAGGUUAUAUAACAGGUUUUCUUCCUUCAACAUUUGAAUAAUUAUCAGGGAGUUAAUACAAAUUUUCAUUGGAUAGAGAUUGUGAGUUAGAGCACAAGUCAGACCCCUAUGUAAAGCUAACAAUUUCAUAAGAUUAUUUGUAGCAUGACUAAAACUCUGAAAGAAGCGUAAAACCCAACUCCCAUUUGAGACUCUAAGAAACCCCCCCCCCCCCCACCACCCCCCCUUCUAAGGGGACCCCCACAGGACCCACAGGCUCCAUCAGUGUUGAGCUUGUAAAAGUGAAGAUGGGGAGGGGUCCAACAUAUAGAAAUAGAGGAACGAUGGCUAGAAGCUCUAGGAGUAUUCAGAUGGUAAAAUUUAAUUGCUUACGAGUAAGCAUCUUUAAAGCUGGGAUGGUAGCUUAGAUUGUUAUGUAAGCUAUCAUUUCUGCUUUUUCAUAUGUGCCAAAGGCAGUAUGGGAUUAGAGUAGACUAAGGCAAGAAACUGCUAAAGAAAGAGUUUUGAAUAUACUUCCAGGUGCUUGUCUAGUGGUCAAUGGAAAAGAGCUGAGGGGUGAGAGUGGGGGUACCCCUGUAGUGAUGGACAAGGUCUGCCCAAAGGGAGUUAGCAUAGUUUCAGGAAAAGAAGAUAUAAGGAAUGUCUUCUAAAGGAUGGUUACACCUCAUGCAGGAAGGAUUAAUAUCAAUUGCUCUAUGGGCUAGAGUAGCUUUGGUGGGGAAGAUGUUGUGCAGCAUUAACCACAGAAAAAAUUUGAGCUUGCUAGGGAUACAAAUUUUCCAUAUCAAAUUCCAAGAGAAAAAAGUGGGAAUUGAGCUUGAAACUUUUUUGUGGAGGAAGAAAUAGGAACUUUUACAAGAGAAAGAGCUUGUGCCAGUCAGGAUCCAAAUAGGAGAAUUAUAAUACCCCGUACUUUUUCCUAACUAAUUUCAUUUCAAGAAUGUCUAGUAUUAGCUUCUAAACUAAAUGAUGGUUGUUCCAGAGUCUUAAAGUGAUUUCCUCCGCGUUACGACAAAGCUCCAGGUCACAAAAGAAGGUUCAACACGAUGGCUCCGCGUCGCACCAUCCCACAGUUUUCCAAUUGUCAAAUUCUAGUGACACGGCGUGAUAACGCCGUGUUGCGCCAGGGGUUCAAUUUAAGAAAAUUUUACUGAAAUUACAAGACGCGUCUAGGGUUAAAAGGGUCUAUUUUCCACCCCUAUUUAAGCCCUUUAACACGUGAUUCAGCCACUUUUCACCAAAACUAUACUAGUUUCUCUCAAGUUUCUCUUAAGAAAAAACUAGGGUUUUCAUAGAAGAUCUAAUUUCAAGAAGGUUUCACCAUUAAUCUUCACAAAAUCACGAACUAAGGUAUGCAUAGUGUUCAUUCAUGGACUCUUUUCAUCCAUGAAGUCCAAGAAUCCCUUUUCCAACUUCAAGUUAUGGAUUUUCUUUAUGAUUUCAUGAUUGUGGGUAGGGUCUAAGGCUAGGGAUGUGGACGGUUACAAGCUGUGGUACUCUGGGAGCGACAGGCGUAGGAAUGGAGUUGGCAUCUUGGUAGAUGAAGAGCUUAGAGGUCAGGUAGUGGAGGUGAAGAGGAUCAGCGAUAGGUUGAUGACUAUUAAGUUGGUCAUUCGGGGGUUUACCCUGAACGUGUGUAGUGCCUAUGCGCCGCAUGUGGGAUCGGAGGGGGAGGAGAAGAUGCGGUUCUGGGAGGCUUUGGAGGAGGUGGUGAGAGGCGUGCCCAGUUCGGAGAAGAUUGUUGUAGCAGGGGAUUUCAACGGGCACAUCGGGGCGCUACCGGGAGGCUUUGGGGAUGUGCAUGGUGGUUUUGGUUUUGGGGAGAGAAAUGAAGAGGGGGCGACCCUAUUGGAGUUUGCGAGGGCGUUUGGGCUGGUGGUGGUGAACUCGGGCUUCCCGAAGAAGGACGACCACCUGAUCACUUUUCGGAGCGCGGUAGCCAGGACCCAGAUUGACUUCUUGUUGCUUAGGAAAGGGGAUAGGGCGCUGUGUAAAGAUUGUAAAGUCAUCCCGAGUGAGAACCUUUCGACCCAACAUAGGCUCUUGGUUAUGGAUUUGGGUAUGAAGAAGAAUAAAAAGAGGAGGAGUAAGGAGUGUAGACCGAGAAUUAAGUGGGGCGGUUUGACGCCAGUGAAUGCGUGGGAGAUAGGGGAGAGGUUGGCGGGAAUGGGGGUGUGGGAGUGUAGGGGGGACGUGGAUAAUAUGUGGGACAGGGCGGCAGCGUGCAUCAGGGAAAAUGCAAGGGAGGUGUUGGGUGUUUCUAGGGGCCGGGCCGGACAUCAUCGGGGGGAUUGGUGGUGGAAUGAAGAGGUGGGGAAGAAAGUGGAGACCAAGAAAGAGUCGUAUGCUAAGUUGGUGGAAAGUAAGGACGAAGAGGAGAAGCGGGUAAACAGGAAAGAGUACAAGCUAGCAAGGAAGGAGGCGAAGUCAGCGGUCACGGCAGCUAAGACGGCUGCUUUUGAGAGCUUGUAUGCAGGGUUACAGGGGAAAGGAGGGGAGAAAAAGUUGUUCCGACUCGCUAAGGCUAGGGAGAGGAAGGGUCGUGACCUCGAUCAGGUGCGGUGCAUUAAGGGGGAGGACGGUAGAGUGUUGGUGGAGGACGGCCACAUAAAGAAGAGAUGGCAGUCGUACUUUCAUAGGCUCUUGAAUGACGAGGGGGACAGAGCUAUUGUGUUAGGGGAACUGGAGCACUCAGGGGAGUGUCGGGAUUUUAGCUAUUGUAGACGUUUUAAGGUAGACGAGGUUAGACAGGCAGUCCGCAGGAUGCGAAGGGGUAGGGCGACGGGGCCGGAUGAGAUACCGGUGGAGUUUUGGAAGUUCGUUGGAGAGGCUGGUGUAAGGUGGUUGACUGCAUUGUUCAAUGAAAUUUUCAGGACAGCAAAGAUGCCCGAGGCGUGGAGGUGGAGUACCAUGAUCCCCCUCUAUAAGAAUAAGGGGGACAUUCAGUGUUGCAAUAACUAUAGGGGGAUUAAGUUACUGAGUCACUCUAUGAAGAUCUGGGAGAGAGUGGUCGAGGUGAGGCUGAGACGGAUAGUGUCUAUCUCGGAAAACCAGUUCGGAUUUAUGCCCGGCCGCUCGACGACGGAGGCAAUUCACCUGGUACGGCGGUUGGUGGAGCAAUAUAGGGAAAGGAAGAAGGAUUUGCACAUGGUGUUCAUCGACCUAGAAAAGGCGUACGACAAAGUCCCCAGGGAGGUGCUUUGGAGAUGCUUGGAGGUGAGUGGAGUACCGCAGGCAUAUAGCAGAGUAAUUAAGGAUAUGUAUGAGGGAGCGAAAACCCAGGUGAGGACGGCGGGAGGAGACUCAGAGCAUUUCACUGUCCUGACAGGAUUGCAUCAGGGAUCUACUCUUAGUCCCUUUUUGUUUGCGCUAGUAAUGGAUGUGUUAACGCGGCGUAUCCAAGGGGAGGUGCCGUGGUGUAUGCUUUUUGCAGACGAUGUAGUCCUGAUAGAUGAGACGCGAGGGGGUGUGAACGACAAAUUAGAGCUGUGGAGGCAAACUCUGGAGUCUAAAGGGUUCAGGGUGAGCAGAACCAAGACAGAGUAUGUGGAAUGUAAGUUUAAUGACGUAAGGCGAGAGAAUGAGGUAGUGGUGAGGCUAGAAGCGCAGGAGGUAAAGAAAAGGGAUAAGUUCAAGUACCUCGGGUCCGUGAUCCAGAGUAACGGUGAGAUUGACGAGGAUGUCUCGCACCGUAUCGGGGCGGGAUGGAUGAAGUGGAAACUUGCAUCGGGGGUGCUGUGUGAUAAGAAGGUGCCGCCCAAGCUUAAAGGUAAAUUCUAUAGGGUGGUAGUCCGUCCGGCCUUGCUGUAUGGAGCGGAGUGUUGGCCAGUUAAGAACUCCCACACCCAAAGAAUGAAGGUGGCAGAAAUGCGGAUGUUGCGCUGGAUGUGUGGACUGACCCGAAGGGAUAGAGCUCGGAAUGAGACUAUCCGGGAGAAGGUUGGGGUGACUUCAGUGGAGUGUAAGAUGCGGGAAGCACGAUUGAGAUGGUUCGGACACGUGAAGAGGAGGGGCAUGGAUGCCCCGGUCCGUAGGUGUGAGAGGCUAGCGUUGGAUGGUUUUAGACGGGGUAGGGGUAGACCGAAGAAGUACUGGGGUGAGGUGAUUAGGCGGGACAUGGAACAGUUACAGCUUACCGAGGACAUGACCCUAGAUAGGAAGGUCUGGAAGACGCGAAUUACGGCAGAGGAUUAGGGCCUGUUCGGGUCGCUAAUGUAGGGAGGUAAUUGGUGGGGGUGUAUUCCUGGUAUGAUUCCGUAUUCAAUGUUCUGUUCCGUGUUCCGUGUUCUAUGUUUGUUACGAAUCUGUGUGCUUUCCUCUGCUUUAUAUUCCUGCAUCCCUGCUUUACUCUGUUUUAUAUUCCUUAUGGCUGCAGUAUCUAUGUUAUGUCAUCUGCUUCUGUGCUGUACUAUGUGUUUGUUUGAUAUCUCGUAACUUGAGCCGGGGGUCUUUCGGAAACAGCCUUUCUACUUCAUCAGAGGUAGAGGUAUGGACUGCGUACAUCUUACCCCCCCCAGACCCCACAAAGUGGGAAUACACUGGGUUUGUUGUUGUUGUUGUUGAUAUAUAUAUAUAUUCAUAUUUGGGCCUUUAAGUUGUAAUAUUUAUCCAUUAAUUGCUAUCUUGUUCAUGUUGAUAAAUGAGAAAUUAAAUUCUACUCCAUGUUGGGUGAUAAUUUCUAUGUGGGUUUAAUUAUUAUAGAUAUAGAUUCAUGCAAACCUAUGACUAGACCCUUGAAUGAUAAUGAAAUUAGAAUGUGCCCAUGAUGUUUAAUUGUUGUACAAUGAAGUUACAUGUACCAUGCCAACAUGUUUGAUUUAAUGCCUAAAUGAAGGAAAAGUGUCUAACUAGCAUGUUGUCAUGAAAUCCCCAUGUAUACACAAGCUUAUGCCUAUCACAUGUUUGAUGAAAUGCUUCAGUAAAUGAAUUAUGGUGAUUAUUAUGUAUUCAAGCAAGUCCUGUUUGAUCAAUUUCCUUCUAUCGAGUCCUGGGGGUACUUGUACCCAAAAUAUUAGUUGUGUGCCUAGAGCCAUGUCAUGUUUUCACGAUACUCUCAGUCAAGCUAUGAUCCUUAUACUUCAGACAGUCUUAUGACUCAGGAAAUCUCCAUGAUCUCAUGAACUCAGUCAGUUGUCAGAUAUUAGUAGUAUUCCGUCAAUCAACGGAAUUCAGUAACUCAGCCCAUGUUCACUUCAUUAAAUCAUGAUUCAGAGUCUAUUCAGAUGGGAGUAGAAAUUAGCAUCGAGUGAACCCAAGAAUGGAAACACACACUAUCAGAUGAGGGUGUGAUUCUUAGAAGCCAUCCUUGCAUUCCAGAACUAUGUUGCCAGCAUAGGUUAAGACAUCAACACUAUCUGAUGAGAUGGAUAAGCACUGUCAGAUAAGAGCCCCAUCGUUCUUGUAUAGGGGACACUAUCAGAUGAGGGUCCCCCACAACUCGUCCUUACCAGUGGCACGGUAUUGACACUCUUCUAAUUGGGGUAACAGAUUGGACCCCAACUCAGCCAUAAUGGCGUAUCAGGGGUAUGUCGGUUAGAUAACUACUUCCCAUAAUUUCAUGUUACAGAAUCAGGACUGUCAGACAAAGCCAAUCAGCCUCAGUAUUAGAACUCAGAUAGUUCUUCAGAUUUCAGGACUGUCAGAUACAGUCAACUCAGAUACAGUACGAAACUCAGAUAGUUCCAUCAGAUUCAGGACUGUCAGAUACAGUCACUCAUGUUAUCAGUUAUAUUCAGAUUCAGUAAUCAUGUUAUCACAGUAUUAGUGUCAUUUGUUAUGUCUCAUGCAUGUAUUCUCACGCUCAUGAUAGUUAGUCAGUUAUUAUUAUUGUUCAUGCAUAUGAACCCCAUGCAUUCAGCCUAUCUCACAUGCAUACUAAUACAUUCAAAGUACUGACGCAUUUGCGCUAUGGUGUCUUAUACCAUAGAUUUAGAGACACAAGCUCCAGCGCAACAGUAGAUUUCAGAUAUCCACAGACAGAGUUAGAAGUGAGUCCUCAUCUUUCAAGGACAUGAUUAUUUUUCUUAUUAUCUCAUUAAUUAGUGUAUUAGUUGGAGUUAGUUGGGGA